UACAGAGGUCUCAAGCGUUGUUCGGAUUUACUGGGCGUAAAGGGUGCGUAGGUGGUUGGGUAAGUCUGAUGUGAAAUCUCCGGGCUCAACCCGGAAAUGGCAUUGGAUACUAUUCGACUAGAGGGUUGGAGGGGGGACUGGAAUACUUGGUGUAGCAGUGAAAUGCGUAGAUAUCAAGUGGAACACCAGUGGCGAAGGCGAGUCCCUGGACAACUCCUGACACUGAGGCACGAAAGCUAGGGGAGCAAACAGG
rnacentral:rRNA from 1 species